GGAGGUAUAGCUCAUUGAUAGAGCAUUCGAUUGCAGAUCGAGUGGUCCCCGGUUCAAAUCCGGGAGUUUACUUCUU
rnacentral:tRNA from 1 species